UCGCGUAUUUUCAGUUUAACUAGGAUUAACUGCCGGUGCAAUUUUUCCCAACGGUCACAAUAGAUAAAAAAAAAGUUUUCUUCUUACUCGUUCACUGCUUGUUCUCUCAAACCAAUAAUAAUUAAUAUGCAAUAUUACUUUAAAAUUUCAAUUCUGUAGUUUACAGUGCAUAAAGUUUAUGAUAUGAGUAUAUUAUACAUGAUGAUGUCUAAAAAGUAAAAUAAUUUACCUGAAAAACUACACUAUGCAAUUAAAAAAAUGUUGAUCCUAGAGAAAUUUUCUGUCGAAACAUACAGCCUGCCACGUCCUACUUACAGCCUACCACGGCAACUGCAAACAACGCACUUAGCAAUGUAGACAAAGGAAAAUCAAAAAGCCAUAAAGAUUUGUAAAGAAAUAGGUUCUUUUAUUAUUAUUUUUAUUUCACUCAUCGAUGCACUUCCGCAGCAAUGUAUUAUGCAUAAUGAUUCAAAAAUUUGUUCAUCAUGAUGCUCAGGAAGCAGAAAGAAAUAUGCAACUUUGCGGGCUCACUGGAUUUAUCAAAAACAUUGCUAAGCUGUCAUCUGUGUAAAUUAUCUUCUCCACUGUCGUACAUGGAUAUUUGGAUCUUUCUCAAUCUAGUAUUUUAAUUACGCAUAAUUAAAUUAUUAGCGAUGAGUGCUGCUCGCUCCUUUCGAUUGUCAUAAUGAAUAAACAAUUCAUAAAUAUAUAAUAAAAUUACUAAACACA